UGACGUUACCUACAGAAGAAGCACCGGCUAACUCCGUGCCAGCAGCCGCGGUAAUACGGAGGGUGCGAGCGUUAAUCGGAAUUACUGGGCGUAAAGCGCGCGUAGGCGGUUUAGUAAGUCGGAUGUGAAAGCCCUGGGCUUAACCUGGGAAUUGCAUUCGAAACUGCUUGACUAGAGUUGGGAGAGGGAAGUGGAUUUCCGGUGUAGCGUUGAAUGCGUAGAUCUCGAAGGAACUCGUGGCGAAGCGACUCCUGGACCAUACUGACGCGGGGUGCAAGG
rnacentral:rRNA from 1 species